GCCUCCCAGGUGAACAUCCUGUCCCUUUGUUCACAGCGGCCAACUCGAGCCCCCGCUCCUGCAGCCUGGCCUGGCUGGUGUCCUAGGCACACAGUCAAUGUUUACCAAAACCAGGGAGCAGAUUAUCAGCAGCCUCAGAGUGCUGAAGGCAGAUCCCAGAUGCCUGGCUCCGCCUCCAAGCUGACACCUGCUGCUGUUUCAGCCUCAUCGCAAGCUUCAUGGAGCUAAAAUCAGGUGAAACCACUAUCAUCACGUCAGUGGCUCCAGCAUUGCGUAAGCCGGGGGCGAGGUUACUCAAGAUUAAACACUGAUGCCUUCCAGACUGAACCUGUGUCCUCAUCAUCCAAAGUCCCCAAGCUUUGAAACAUCAUCCACCCUUCAGAGUUAAUGAAAGUCAAUUUAGGGGAAAAAAGAGAAGAUACACCUAAUUAAAAGUAGAAAAAAACAAGGAGAAAAAAAUAAAAUACAGAAGACAAACCCACCCAGGAUCCUUCCUCCACAGACUAUAAACAACCACCAUGACUAAUCUGGGCAUAACCACUGAUCUACACAUUGAUACAUACAUAGGUAUGGAGACGGGUAUAGAUGGUUAUGAGUAUAGAUACACUUACCUGUAACAACUUCUUAGACGUGUGCUUUGUAAACACUUUUCAUAGUAAUAAACACCUAUGUUC